CGUAGGUGAACCUGCGGAAGGAUCAUUAAUGAAAUACAAGUCGGUCUCUUGUGCUGGUGGCAACACAUGUGCACAUUGAUCGCAAAUCCACACACCUGUGCACCUUUGACUUUGGGAUCCGCAGGUCAGCUUGUCUGGCCUGCAGCUGGUUGGCUUUGUGCUGGCCUGGGUCUCAGAGUAAUUUUUAUACACUCUGAAUGUAAUGGAAUGUCCAUGUGCAUAAUGCGCAAAAAUACAACUUUCAACAACGGAUCUCUUGGCUCUCGCACCGAUGAAGAACGCAGCGAAAUGCGAUAAGUAAUGUGAAUUGCAGAAUUCAGUGAAUCAUCGAAUCUUUGAACGCACCUUGCACCCUUUGGUAUUCCGAAGGGUACACCCGUUUGAGUGUCAUUGUAAUCUCACUCCACCAGCUUUUGCUGAUGGAUGUGGACCUGGACUUUGUUGUGUUACUACAACUGGUCUGAAAUAGAUGAGUGCACCCUGCUGUUGCAGCGUCUUCAGUGUGAUAAGCAUCUUCACUGAUUCAAGUUCCUUCGGACACGUGUGCAUUGUGGGCUCUGUGCUGGCAAACCGUCUUUGGACAAUCUUGACAAUUUGACCUCAGAUCGGGUGGGACUACCCGCUGAACUUAAGCAUAUCAAUAAGCGGAGGAAAAGAAACUAACAAGGAUUCCCCUAGUAACGGCGAGUGAAGAGGGAAAAGCUCAAAUUUUGAAUCUGGUGUCUUUGGCGCCCGAGUUGUAAUCUAGAGAAGUGUUUUCUGCCUCGGACCACACAUAAAUUCCCUGGAAUGGGGUGUCAUAGAGGGUGAGAAUCCCGUUUGUGGUGUGGACUACCUUGGCUCUGUGAUACACUCUCAACGAGUCGAGUUGUUUGGGAAUGCAGCUCAAAAUGGGUGGUAAAUUCCAUCUAAAGCUAAAUAUUGGCGAGAGACCGAUAGCGAACAAGUACCGUGAGGGAAAGAUGAAAAGCACUUUGGAAAGAGAGUGAAACAGUACGUGAAAUUGUUGAAAGGGAAGCGUUUGAAGUCAGUCACAUUGGUCGGAAUUCAGCCUGGCUUCUGCCUGGUGUACUUUCUGGCAAAUGGGUCAGCGUCAAUUUUGACCGAGAGAAAAAGACUUGAGGAAUGUGGCUGUCUUCGGGCAGUGUUAUAGCCUCUUGUUGUAUGUCUCGGUUGGGAUUGAGGAUCGCAGCACGCCUUAUGGCCGGGGUUCGCCCUCGGAACGUGCUUAGGACGCUGGCAUAAUGGCUUUAAGCGACCCGUCUUGAAACACGGACCAAGGAGUCUAACAUGUGCGCGAGUGUUUAGGUGUCAAACCUGGGCGCGUAAUGAAAGUGAAAGGUCGGGAUCAUGUACUUGUGCACCGACGCCCGGAGCGGACCUUCUGUGAUGCUUCCGAGGUAGAGCGUAUAUGUUGGGACCCGAAAGAUGGUGAACUAUGCCUGAAUAGGGUGAAGCCAGAGGAAACUCUGGUGGAGGCUCGUAGCGAUUCUGACGUGCAAAUCGAUCGUCAAAUUUGGGUAUAGGGGCGAAAGACUAAUCGAACCAUCUAGUAGCUGGUUCCUGCCGAAGUUUCCCUCAGGAUAG
rnacentral:rRNA from 1 species